GAUGAACGCUGGCGGCGUGCUUAACACAUGCAAGUCGAACGGUGAAAGAGAGCUUGCUCUCUGGAUCAGUGGCGAACGGGUGAGUAACACGUGAGCAAUCUGCCCCUGACUCUGGGAUAAGCGUUGGAAACGACGUCUAAUACCGGAUACGAGCUGCGAAGGCAUCUUCAGCAGCUGGAAAGAACUUCGGUCAGGGAUGAGCUCGCGGCCUAUCAGCUAGUUGGUGAGGUAAUGGCUCACCAAGGCGUCGACGGGUAGCCGGCCUGAGAGGGCGACCGGCCACACUGGGACUGAGACACGGCCCAGACUCCUACGGGAGGCAGCAGUGGGGAAUAUUGCACAAUGGGCGAAACCCUGAUGCAGCGACGCCGCGUGAGGGAUGACGGCCUUCGGGUUGUAAACCUCUUUCAGCAGGGAAGAAGCGCAAGUGACGGUACCUGCAGAAGAAGCACCGGCUAGCUACGUGCCAGCAGCCGCGGUAAUACGUAGGGUGCGAGCGUUGUCCGGAAUUAUUGGGCGUAAAGGGCUCGUAGGCGGUCCGUCACGUCGGAAGUGAAAACCUGGGGCUUAACCCCGGGCCUGCUUUCGAUACGGGCGGACUUGAGUUCGGCAGGGGAGGCUGGAAUUCCUGGUGUAGCGGUGGAAUGCGCAGAUAUCAGAGGAACACCAAUGGCGAAGGCAGGUCUCUGGGCCGAUACUGACGCUGAGGAGCGAAAGCGUGGGGAGCGAACAGGAUUAGAUACCCUGGUAGUCCACGCCGUAAACGGUGGGUGCUAGGUGUGGGAGACUAUCUACGUUUUCCGCGCCGCAGCUAACGCAUUAAGCACCCGCCUGGGGAGUACGGCGCAAGGCUAA
rnacentral:rRNA from 1 species